rnacentral:rRNA from 1 species
GUGGGGAAUAUUGGACAAUGGGCGAAAGCCUGAUCCAGCCAUGCCGCGUGUGUGAAGAAGGCCUUUUGGUUGUAAAGCACUUUAAGCGAGGAGGAGGCUACCGAGAUUAAUACUCUUGGAUAGUGGACGUUACUCGCAGAAUAAGCACCGGCUAACUCUGUGCCAGCAGCCGCGGUAAUACAGAGGGUGCAAGCGUUAAUCGGAUUUACUGGGCGUAAAGCGCGCGUAGGUGGCCAAUUAAGUCAAAUGUGAAAUCCCCGAGCUUAACUUGGGAAUUGCAUGCGAUACUGGUUGGCUAGAGUAUGGGAGAGGAUGGUAGAAUUCCAGGUGUAGCGGUGAAAUGCGUAGAGAUCUGGAGGAAUACCGAUGGCGAAGGCAGCCAUCUGGCCUAAUACUGACACUGAGGUGCGAAAGCAUGGGGAGCAAACAGGAUUAGAUACCCUUGUAGUCC